ACUGCUCAGUAACACGUGGCUAACCUGCCCUCGGGACGGGGACACCCCCGGGAAACUGGGGUUAAUCCCCGAUAGGUGAAGAACUCUGGAAUGAGUCUCCGCCCAAAAGGCGCUUGCGCUAUGCUCGUAGGCGUCGCCCAAGGAUGGGGCCGCGUCCGAUCAGGUUGUUGGUGAGGUAAUGGCUCACCAAGCCUUUUACCGGUGCGGGCCGUGGGAGCGGGAGCCCGGAGAUGGGCACUGAGACAAGGGCCCAGGCCCUACGGGGCGCAGCAGUCGCGAAAACUUUGCAAUACACGAAAGUGUGACAGGGCUAUCCCGAGUGCCAUCCGCUGAGGAAGGCUUUUACCCAGUGUAGAUAGCUGGGAGAAUAAGGAGAGGGCAAGACUGGUGUCAGCCGCCGCGGUAAUACCAGCUCUCCGAGUGGUGUGGAUGUUUAUUGGGCCUAAAGCAUCCGUAGCUGGCUGGGCAAGUCCCCUGUUAAAUCCACCGAUUCAAUCGUUGGAGUGCGGGGGAUACUGCUCGGCUAGGGGACGGGAGAGGCCGACGGUAUUUUCGGGGUAGGGGUGAAAUCCUAUAAUCCCGGGAGGACCACCAGUGGCGAAGGCUGUCGGCUAGAACGCGCCCGACGGUGAGGGAUGAAAGCUGGGGGAGCGAACCGGAUUAGAUACCCGGGUAGUCCCAGCUGUAAACGAUGCAGGCUAGGUGUUUGGGCGGCCACGAGCCGCUCUAGUGCCGCAGGGAAGUCGUUAAGCCUGCCGCCUGGGGAGUACGGCCGCAAGGCUGAAACUUAAAGGAAUUGGCGGGGGAGCAC
rnacentral:rRNA from 1 species